UGAGAGAAAUAAUUAUGUUUAUCAAAAAAAAAAAAUUAUGAGAUUAAACUUUCUCAAAGAAUUAGAGAUCAUUUAUUUUAUGUAGCAAUUACAUUUGUCUCUCUUCUUAAUCCUCACUUUUCCUAAAGAAUCUCAUGCCUGCGUAAAAAAGGGUUUUUCUUUUGUAGGUGGAAAGGAAAAACCUUUGAAGCAACCCAAAUCUAAUAAUAAACAGUACAACGAGCAAAAGACUAUUUGGAUGGCAUGUUGCUGGCUAACAAAUACAUGGAUAUGUGGGAAAAAAAGGGGAUCAAUAUCUCUAGAAGUAUAAGGAUGUUCUCCCAGCUAGACUUAUUCCCUCCAGUUUAAUCUCCUUAUUUGGUAAGCACUAAUUGGUGUUCUUUUAAUUAUACGGAUAAUGUUUCAAACUUUUUCCUGAAUAUGUUUCCCAAUAACAUCAAAUCAACCCUUACCCCAUCAGAGGUUGGAUGAGAAGGCUUCAACUGGGUGCCUGUUUCAUAAUCCAUAGCUGUCAAAUAUGUUUGAUUGUUACAAAAUUUGUUACAAUUGUGCAUAUAAGCAGUGUCUCAUAUCAUAAUCUCUGUACUGGAAUCAAAUUAGAAUGUUUCUGCAUCUAGAUUUGAUUGCAAGACUAUUAGUUUAUGCUUAAUGUAUUGGAGGAUAUGUACUUGUUAAGCUUGGAUAAAUUUUGUAUUAUAGGAAAACAUCAAAAUCCAAAAAUCAGUAUUUUUGUCUUCUACUAAUUUGCUUGUCCAACAAUUGUGAAAUUCCUUAGGUUUCCUUUGGUGGCAAAUUUGCUUUGCGUUGUCUGCAGCACUUAGUUUGAUAUACAUGAUCAUGUAUCACCGCUCACUUCUACAUCUUGUUGCGCAGAGGCUCUCGACAUUUCCAUCACCUAACACUUUCAUUUGAUUCUUGUGGACCUUGCUGUCUUUAAUAAUUAUUGUACUGCUCCUCCUUGUAUUUAAUAAGUUUUUUUUUUUUUUCAAUGGUUAGUUUUUUUUUUAUCAAAUUGUCAACAAUGAACUGUUUUUACUUAUGCCAGGCAUACAUUUAGAAAACACAUGAAGUUAGAAUGCAAUUUAUGGCAUUUUAAUUUUUAUAAUAAAACUUAUGAAUUUGUGAAGAGAAUAAAAGAGAAAGGUUUAUAUGUACAACACAUUUUUUAUUGACCAUAACUGCAUUAUUUGGGUUUUUAGUACCUAUCUUCUGUUUAGGUACAGAAUAAGUCUCAAUUAAUUAUUACAAAAUUUCCACAUUUGGUUCUAAUUACUUAAGAGCUUGUGGGUGUGCCAUGUGUGUUCUAGUUCUCCCAUUAAAGUACCAAUUACUAAUGAUUUUUUGCACAUCAUUGAAUUGUGCUAAACUCCAACUACAACCGUUUGGGAAGGAAUGCUGAUGAGGCAGAUGCAAAGGUGAUCAUAGAAUGGCUAGUAAAGCCUCUCUUGCUGAUCAACGAGCCAAGUCCAAGAAAAUGUCCAUGCUCAGAUUAAAAGUUUCUUCAUGUUAAUGGAUGAAAUUCUCAUUCUUGAUACUAAAAGGAUAGGUGAUGCACAUGAAUUGCCUCCACAACCAACAGCCACUCCUUGUUGGAGUGGCCUUGGUUUUGCUGUUGGCAAGAAUGGCCAACCUACUGAUUGUCCUGGUAAGGUUCUAUUUGCAAUCCUGAAACUUUUUCCAAUGUUGCAUUAUGAGCUUGAAGUUGUGUAAGUGUGGCAUGAGAUGUUUAGGAUCUUAGAAUUUUCUUGUGACCCAUCCUUUCUAUGUUUGAAGUAGUGGGAUUAUCUUGAUUCGAGGGAAAGAUAUUUUGAUUUGUUCUGUUGAUUACCUUAACUUCUUUACUAGUCUCCUUGAACAAAUUUAGUAUUUAAAAAGUUUAAAGUUAUUCAAGUAGAGUUAAUGUGAACAUCCAAUCACUUUUGAACUGACGUGUCAGCAAAAGAAAUCUACAAUUGGGCAACGAAGUGUCGGAAAUGAGAUGGUGGCCUUAGGCGAUGGGGCAAGGGAGGGGAAGAUUUCCUGGGGAUACUCAAAUUGAUUUUAUGGAAGGCAUAUUCAAGGAAAACUAUUUCUUGGGUUUACUUAAAUUGAAUUUGUGCUAGGUAAUGUUGAAGUUGACUCUAAAAAUUCCAGCUUCUAUAUGGGACUUGGAUUCACAACUGGCUUUUGGGCAAUUUGUGGAGCUCUCUUCUUCAAUAGGACUUGGAGGCAUGCUUUUUUCAGAUUUGCUGAUGACAUAAAAGAUCGGAUUUGUGUGACUACAAUGAUAAAGAUGAAUUGGUUAUCUAAAAAGGCAAGAGUCUGCCUUAGUAAGUGAAAGGCAUCAUUAUCUACCUAAAAGGUAGAUAAUGGAGGAGGGGAGAUGAGUUUCAACUACAGAUGAAUCAUGCACCAUAAAGGAUACCAUUAUCACUAUGCUACUAUAGGACUUUGUUUAGAGAUAUUUGAAGUGGACAAAGAGGGAACUCAUUGGAAUACCCUCAAUAGAACGAAAGUUGUACUAUGACAGCAGAAAUUGUUUCUCAUAUACAUAAUGCAUCAAAUAGGUGGUGUAGACCAUCAGUAGCAUCAUCAGCCACACUUUAAGCCUUAAAGAUAUUUUUCUUAGUUGUUUUUUCUAUUGGGUUAAGAGAGACUGUAAUGCAGUACCCCAAACUGCUACCAAGCUCUCCCUUUUAUCAUCUAAGUCCUACAUAAGUUACAAUAAACUCAGUCUCCCUGAUGUUCAUAGAUCUGCUUGUGAGGUUGACUAUAGUUCCAAUUUGUAUCCUACUCUAGUUUGAUCAAUGAAAUUGAAGAUUAUCAACAACAACAACA